rnacentral:rRNA from 1 species
CCUACGGGUGGCUGCAGUGAGGAAUAUUGGUCAAUGGGCGGAAGCCUGAACCAGCCAAGUCGCGUGAGGGAUUAAGGCCCUGCGGGUCGUAAACCUCUUUUGCCGGGGAGCAGUGGUCCGGACGCGUCCCGACCGGGAGAGUACCCGGAGAAAAAGCAUCGGCUAACUCCGUGCCAGCAGCCGCGGUAAUACGGAGGAUGGGAGCGUUAUCCGGAUUUAUUGGGUUUAAAGGGAGCGGAGAUGGGUUGUUAAGUCAGUUGUGAAAGGUUGCGGCUCAACCGUAAAAUUGCAAUUGAUACUGGCAGUCUUGAGUACAGUUGAGGUAGGCGGAAUGCGUGGUGUAGCGGUGAAAUGCUUAGAUAUCACGAAGAACUCCGAUUGCGAAGGCAGCUUACUAAACUGCCACUGACAUUGAUGCUCGAAAGUGUGGGUAUCAAACAGGAUUAGAUACCCGAGUAGUC